rnacentral:misc_RNA from 1 species
ACUGCGGAGACAUUACCAGUGCCGCCGGCACGGGCCCUCUGGGCCUGCGUCGGUCUGAGCCCCACCCGUGAAUACUGAACCUCAUGUUGCCUCGGCGGGCCCGCCGCCCAGCGGCCGUCGGGGGGUCCCCAGGGCGGUGUCUUCACUGCCCUGGCCCCCGGGCCCGCGCCCGCCGAUGGAUACUGAACUUCUGAUGGAACUAAUGGGCUGUCUGAGUGAUUGUCAAAUCGUUAAAACUUUCAACAACGGAUCUCUUGGUUCCGGCAUCGAUGAAGAACGCAGCGAAAUGCGAUAAGUAGUGUGAAUUGCAGAAUUCCGUGAAUCAUCGAAUCUUUGAACGCACAUUGCGCCCCCUGGUAUUCCGGGGGGCAUGCCUGUCCGAGCGUCAUUGCAACCCUCAAGCGCGGCUUGUGUGUUGGGCCCUGCUGUCCCCGAACCUCCGGGGACAGGCCCCAAAGGCAGUGGCGGUGCCCUGAGGAGGCCCGAGCGUAUGGGAAUGGAGACAUGCCAGCUUGGAGGCCUUCGCAGGCGCCCGCCCGUCAACUCUCUUCUGGUUGACCUCGGAUCAGGUAGGAUUACCCGCUGAACUUAAGCAUAUCAAUAA